UUGACGGGACCCGCACAAGCAGCGGAGCGUGUGGUUUAAUUCGUUGCUACACGAAGAACCGUUACCUGGGUUUGACAUAUAGGUUGUAGGGAACUGAAAAGGGACCGACCCUUCGGGGAGCCUAUACAGGUGUUGCAUGGCUGUCGUCAGCUCGUGUCGUGAGAUGUUCGGUUAAGUCCGCUAACGAGCGCAACCCUCGUCGUAUGUUAUAUGUGUCAUACGAGACUGCCGGUAAAAGCCGGAGGAAGGUGAGGAUGAUGUCAAGUCAGCAUGACCUUUAUAUCCAGGGCUACACACACGCUACAAUGGUCUGUACAAUGGGUAGCCAAGCCGCGAGGCGGAGCCAAUCCUGAAAGCAGGCCUCAGUUCAGAUUGCAGUCUGCAACUCGACUGCAUGAAGCCGGAGUUGCUAGUAACCGCAGGUCAGCAAUACCGCGGUGAAUACGUUCCCGGGCCUU
rnacentral:rRNA from 1 species